AACGAACGCUGGCGGCAUGCCUAACACAUGCAAGUCGAACGAGACCUUCGGGUCUAGUGGCGCACGGGUGCGUAACGCGUGGGAACCUGCCCUUAGGUUCGGAAUAACUCCCCGUAGGGGGUGCUAAUACCGGUUAAUGUAUUCGGACCAAAGAUUUAUCGCCUUUGGAUGGGCCCGCGUUGGAUUAGCUAGUUGGUAGGGUAAAAGCCUACCAAGGCGACGAUCCAUAGCUGGUCUGAGAGGAUGAUCAGCCACACUGGAACUGAGACACGGCCCAGACUCCUACGGAGGGCAGCAGUGGGGAAUAUUGGGCAAUGGGCGAAAGCCUGAUCCAGCAAUGCCGCGGGAGUGAUGAAGGCCUUAGGGUUGUAAAGCUCUUUUACCCGGGAUGAUAAUGACAGUACCGGGUAAAUAAGCACCGGCUAACUCCGUG
rnacentral:rRNA from 1 species